rnacentral:rRNA from 1 species
AUUGAACGCUGGCGGCAUGCUUUACACAUGCAAGUCGAACGGUAACAGGUUAAGCUGACGAGUGGCGAACGGGUGAGUAAUGCAUCGGAACGUGCCCGAUCGUGGGGGAUAACGCAGCGAAAGCUGCGCUAAUACCGCAUACGAUCUGAGGAUGAAAGCGGGGGACCGUAAGGCCUCGCGCGAUCGGAGCGGCCGAUGUCAGAUUAGGUAGUUGGUGGGGUAAGGGCUCACCAAGCCAACGAUCUGUAGCUGGUCUGAGAGGACGACCAGCCACACUGGGACUGAGACACGGCCCAGACUCCUACGGGAGGCAGCAGUGGGGAAUUUUGGACAAUGGGCGAAAGCCUGAUCCAGCAAUGCCGCGUGCAGGAAGAAGGCCUUCGGGUUGUAAACUGCUUUUGUACAGAGCGAAAAGGUCUCCUCUAAUACAGGGGGCUCAUGACGGUACCGUAAGAAUAAGCACCGGCUAACUACGUGCCAGCAGCCGCAGUAA